GUUGGCAGCCUAGCCUCCCUGGUCCCCUUGCGCUUACCAUAUCCAGAAUGGCGACCCUUUCUCUUGGCCUCCUUCAUUCUGCGAGCACGAGAACGUGAAUGAAUCUUUGUUGGUUUCCGAAUGAUGAAACCAUCCUUCACUAGCUUUCUAAUGUUCUGCCUGGAGUUGGCCAUGGAGAUUUCAUUAACCUCAUUAGGAUCAAGCCAGACCUUGCCCUUUCCGCACUUGAGCACGCUAGCGGCAAGCCGCUUCUGGAGUUUCAAAGAAACCAUCGUUUCUCUUCUUUAUCACUCGGCGUGAGAGGCAAAUAGAGAGUUUUAGGAUUGGAUGCAGAGGCAAUCUUAUACUACACAGGCAAAACAG
rnacentral:misc_RNA from 1 species